rnacentral:rRNA from 1 species
GAUGAACGCUGGCGGCGUGCCUAAUACAUGCAAGUCGAGCGAACAGACGAGGAGCUUGCUCCUCUGACGUUAGCGGCGGACGGGUGAGUAACACGUGGAUAACCUACCUAUAAGACUGGGAUAACUUCGGGAAACCGGAGCUAAUACCGGAUAAUAUAUUGAACCGCAUGGUUCAAUAGUGAAAGACGGUUUUGCUGUCACUUAUAGAUGGAUCCGCGCCGCAUUAGCUAGUUGGUAAGGUAACGGCUUACCAAGGCGACGAUGCGUAGCCGACCUGAGAGGGUGAUCGGCCACACUGGAACUAAGACACGGUCCAGACUCCUACGGGAGGCAGCAGUAGGGAAUCUUCCGCAAUGGGCGAAAGCCUGACGGAGCAACGCCGCGUGAGUGAUGAAGGUCUUCGGAUCGUAAAACUCUGUUAUUAGGGAAGAACAAAUGUGUAAGUAACUAUGCACGUCUUGACGGGACCUAAUCAGAAAGCCACGGCUAACUACGU